rnacentral:rRNA from 1 species
AGUGAACGCUGGCGGUAGGCCUAACACAUGCAAGUCGAACGGCAGCACAGGAGAGCUUGCUCUCUAGGUGGCGAGUGGCGGACGGGUGAGGAAUACAUCGGAAUCUGCCCAGUCGUGGGGGAUAACGUAGGGAAACUUACGCUAAUACCGCAUACGACCUUCGGGUGAAAGAGGGGGAUCGCAAGACCUCUCGCGAUUGGAUGAGCCGAUGUCGGAUUAGCUAGUUAGCGGGGUAAUGGCCCACCAAGGCGACGAUCCGUAGCUGGUCUGAGAGGAUGAUCAGCCACACUGGAACUGAGACACGGUCCAGACUCCUACGGGAGGCAGCAGUGGGGAAUAUUGGACAAUGGGCGCAAGCCUGAUCCAGCCAUACCGCGUGGGUGAAGAAGGCCUUCGGGUUGUAAAGCCCUUUUGUUGGGAAAGAAAUCUUUCAGGCUAAUACCCUGGGAGGAUGACGGUACCCAAAGAAUAAGCACCGGCUAGCUUCGUG